UAACUCCUCACCAGGUAUACUGAACCUAAAACUUGCACUGGUCUGUGGCUCGCUCUAGAGGAUGCAACGGUUGUUAACGGCUGCCUUUGGGCCAUUCCUGAAUCUCAAAAAAAUGGUCUUGUAAGAAGGUUCAUUAGGGGUGAAGAUGGUUUUCUUUGAUAGGCCCUCACAAUCUUAUGACCAGAAUGAUUUUGUGCCUAUUGAAGUGAAAGCCGGGUCUUUAGUCGUAAUUCAUGGGGAUCUUAUUCAUCAAAGCUUUGAAAUCAAUCUACAAAAUCGCGGCAUGCAUACAGCUUGCAUGUGGUAGAUACUGACGGCUGCAAGUGGGCAGAAGAUAAUUGGAUCCAAAGAAAAGUCGAGCCAGAGCCCCUUUACACUUCUUGAUCAAACUCAGGAAUUCAUCCCCGGAAAUUCACUGGCAGCCUCAGCUUGGCAGGACGGGAAUGAAGGUUAAGGAAGCAGGGAAGAAAAGGCAUGGAGCUUUCAUAUGCCUAU